UGAUGUAGGCAACGAUAUCUUUAGAACACAACGAUGUUAAACAGUUUUCAGUAAGUAAAAAUGGACUUUAUUGAUGAAUAAGAUCGAAUACAAUGAGUUGAACUAGAUCGAGUGAUACAAACGAGAACCGUAAAAAAAAGAGUCUAAAAUCGGGAGAAAACAAGGUCAAUGUUAGUGUAUAGCUCUCUCUAGGGUUUUCAAUGUGUCCUUCUUCAUAUCUCUCCUCCUUUCUUUAUAGUAAGUCGACUUCGUGAUCUCCGUAAGUGCUCCGCGAUCUCCGGGACUACUCU
rnacentral:lncRNA from 1 species